AUUGAACGCUGGCGGCGUGCUUAACACAUGCAAGUCGAUCGGUAACAGGUGUAGCAAUACAUGCUGACGAGAGGCGGACGGGUGAGUAACGCUUGGGAAUCUGCCUAUUAGUGGGGGACAACCCGGGGAAACUCGGGCUAAUACCGCAUACGCUCUACGGAGGAAAGCCGGGGACCGCAAGGCCUGGCGCUAAUAGAUGAGCCCAAGUCGGAUUAGCUAGUUGGUAGGGUAACGGCCUACCAAGGCGACAAUCCGUAGCUGGUCUGAGAGGACGACCAGCCACACCGGAACUGAGACACGGUCCGGACUCCUACGGGAGGCAGCAGUGGGGAAUAUUGGACAAUGGGGGCAACCCUGAUCCAGCGACGCCGCGUGGGUGAAGAAGGCCUGCGGGUUGUAAAGCCCUUUCGGUGGGGAAGAAAAGUCUCGACCUAAUACGUCGGGACCUUGACGUAACCCACUAAAGAAGCACCGGCUAACUCUGUGCCAGCAGCCGCCGUAAC
rnacentral:rRNA from 1 species